rnacentral:ncRNA from 1 species
CUGCAUGUGAAAGUGAAGAAAUUCAACCAAGCGCGGGUAAAUGGUGGGAGUAACUAUGACUCUCUUAAGGUAUCCAAAUUCCUCGUCAUCUAAUUAGUGACACACAUGAAUGGAUUAAAAAGAUUCCCACUAUCCCUAGCUACUAUCUAGAGAAACUAUGGGGAAUUGGCUUGGCAAAAUUAGCAGGGAAAGAAGACCCUAUUGAGCUUGACUCUAAUCCGACUUUGUGAAAUGACUUUAGAGGUGUAUAAUAAGUGGGAUUAAUUUUCAAUGCAAGUGAAAUACCACUACUUUUAACAUUAUUUUACUUAUUUCGUGGGGUGGAGAUAGUGCAUUGCACAUAUUUUAAAAGAUAAUGCACAUUUCCUCAAAGUGUUUUCACUGAUGGAAAUGGUCAAGAGCUCAUUCUUCAUGCACUUGAUGGUAAUGAUUUUAGGAUACCAAAGAGGAUCAUUACUUUUAAGGACGAAGAAAGUUCCUACAAUCCCCAAUAAGGCCAAGCCCCU